GUGGAAUAGUUAGGAAGUCUUGGAAAUAAAUGAAAUACUGUUGGAUAUGGCAUCAAAGUGGGCUGGAAAGUAGUUUAAAUGCAGUCAGACCAGGAGCUGAAAGGAAUCGGAGACAGUGCUGGCAAAAGCUGGCGGAGUAUGGUUCAGGCUUGUUUAGCAAAGGCUGGAAAAAAAAGGAGAAAAAGGCAAAACCACCUCUUUGUAUCCUGCGAUCCCAUGGAGGAUUUUGGAAUGAAGGUACCAGGUCUAGGACAGCCUUUGUAAGAACUUAAGGUGAUUUCAGACUCUCCCUUGCUUCAAAAGAGAUUUUUAGCAGAAUUACCUAGGAAUUUCUGCAAGUGACUUGGAACUGGAGAAACAGAGCCUCCUUCAGAGCUAUCCUUGGAACAAGGCCAACAGAAUUCCAACACUACUUUUCAGGAACCACAAGACUAUAUGAGACAUCUGGGACUCAAGAUAAAUGUGCUGGUUAAAUGUACAUUGGUAAUGGA